UUGAUUGAGAGUUUGAUCCUGGCUCAGGAUGAACGCUGGCGGCGUGCCUAACACAUGCAAGUCGAACGAAGCAAUAAAGACGGAGAUUCGUCAAAGCCUUUAUUGACUUAGUGGCGGACGGGUGAGUAACGCGUGAGCAACCUGCCUUUCAGAGGGGGACAACAGUUGGAAACGGCUGCUAAUACCGCAUAAUGUACAGAGGGGGCAUCCCUUUUGUAUCAAAGGAGAAAUCCGCUGAAAGAUGGGCUCACGUCUGAUUAGCUAGUUGGUGGGGUAAAGGCCUACCAAGGCUGCGAUCAGUAGCCGGACUGAGAGGUUGAACGGCCACAUUGGGACUGAGAUACGGCCCAGACUCCUACGGGAGGCAGCAGUGGGGAAUAUUGGGCAAUGGGCGAAAGCCUGACCCAGCAACGCCGCGUGAAGGAAGAAGG
rnacentral:rRNA from 1 species